rnacentral:rRNA from 1 species
UCGGGAAUUUUGGGCAAUGGGCGAAAGCCUGACCCAGCAACGCCGCGUGAAGGAUGAAGUAUUUCGGUAUGUAAACUUCGAAAGAAUAGGAAGAAUAAAUGACGGUACUAUUUAUAAGGUCCGGCUAACUACGUGCCAGCAGCCGCGGUAAUACGUAGGGACCAAGCGUUGUUCGGAUUUACUGGGCGUAAAGGGCGCGUAGGCGGCAAUUCAAGUCAUCUGUGAAAUCUCCGGGCUUAACUCGGAACGGUCAGAUGAUACUGCUUUGCUAGAGUGCAGAAGGGGCAAUCGGAAUUCUUGGUGUAGCGGUGAAAUGCGUAGAUAUCAAGAGGAACACCUGAGGUGAAGACGGGUUGCUGGGCUGACACUGACGCUGAGGCGCGAAAGCCAGGGGAGCAAACGGGAUUAGAUACCCUGGUAGUCCCUGAGCGGGCUGGCAAGGCG